UUGUGCUUGAUCUAACCAUGUGGUUGCAGACUCAGACUAAUACAUGGUUCUGUCAAGCACCAUG
rnacentral:pre_miRNA from 3 species